CACCAUUUACCCCCACUCCUUCUCGGCUUGUAUAAAAUUAACUACUUAAUUAAAAUAAGAUUGAUGGUAGCUUACACGUUUAAUUAAAAGAAUAUCAAUAUUAAAUUAACGUGUUGACUUGGUAGACGAGAGUCAUUGUGGGUUACAGAAAGCUGAGCGAGCAAGCUACAUUACACGUUAGUCAUGUCGCGUGUGUUGCUGUCGCUGAUCGUCUUCACGUACGUACUUGGCGUCAAAUCUGGCUGCAGCAAGUCCGACUGGGGGUAUAGCUUUGACGUGGAAGGUACGUCACAAUGCACCAACCCUGGUUACUUUAUCAACGGCUUCUAUAGGAGCAGCAGUGAUGAUACCGAUGAUAUAUAUCACCUGGAAGGAGCUGAAUGCUGCUAUCCGACUUCGCCAUGGGAAGGCAACGACUUGGUGAAAGUAACCGCGAACUGGGGGAUAACUCUUGAUUACCAAGGCUGGGCAUUUUGUCCUAUGGGUUAUUAUCUUUACGGGCUGUACAGGACUGUCGCGUCUGUACGUCCAUCAGGACUCCAUAACAUUGAAUACGGACAUUGCGCUAAACCCAGAAACCACCCUGAUGAAAACGGUCACUGCUACACACAGGAUGUUGUUCAGUGUUUAGACCAAGAGGGCUUGUGCCGCUGUAACGAUGGUUACUUCGUUGUUGGUCUGUACCGUGGAGGGUGUGACAAACUGCUGUGUUUGGAGUAUUUACAGUGCUGCAGAUUUAAAUGAAAAUAUCUCACGGAAGUAGAUCUACUCCAUACUACAUGAAAUGAAAACAAAACACUUUUGUGUUAAAAAAAAAUUUAAAAUAAUUUCAAGUCUCGAAAAGUAUGUUGUUGAAAUCUCAAAAUUGACUUCUAAAUAAAAUAUUUAAAAAAUA